GAUGAAGAACGCAGCGAAAUGCGAUAAGUAAUGUGAAUUGCAGAAUUCAGUGAAUCAUCGAAUCUUUGAACGCACAUUGCGCCCGCCAGUAUUCUGGCGGGCAUGCCUGUCUGAGCGUCAUUUCAACCCUCAAGCAACUUCUGCUUGGUGUUGGGGAUCGGCCGUCAAACGCCGCCCCCGAAAUCUAUUGGCGAUCUCGCUGUAGCUUCCUAUGCGUAGUAGUAACAUCUCGCAUCUGGAGAGCGGCGCGGUCAUGCCGUAAAACACCCAACUUCUCAGGUUGACCUCGGAUCAGGUAGGGAUACCCGCUGAACUUAAGCAUAUCAAUAAGCGGAGGA
rnacentral:misc_RNA from 1 species